rnacentral:RNase_P_RNA from 1 species
UCAACGCUGCGUUUCCAUGCUACAAACAGAGAGGUCCUGCGCGAGCAGCCUCUCGCCCUGUCCUUCCUUGCAUGUGGGAAAUUCGGAGAAUGCUUCAUCAAACAGGAGGGGCAUCCGUGCCUCGUCCUCGUUUGCCCUGCCUCAUUUCCAACGGGGGUUUCAUAUCCCUGGCGGCCGUGGGCGCUCAGGGUCUGCCUGUAAUGGCCUCGCGUCACUCGGCGCCUGCAACCGACAUCAGAAAUUCCAGGGCCUGGCCGGCCGAGUACCGCCUCCUCCUCUCCUUCGCGGGCCGGAAGGGGCCGCGGAAACCGUCGUGCCCAGGGCACCCUAUGGGAAGUCGUUGCGAAGCUUGUAUUCUAUACUUGAGUCCAAUACGCGGCGAUGUCUUACCCUUCGGGGGGGAUAUUACCUCAAUUCCGGUCAUUCUCUUGA